AUUGAACGCUGGCGGAAUGCUUUACACAUGCAAGUCGAGCGGCAGCACGGGGGCAACCCUGGUGGCGAGCGGCGAACGGGUGAGUAAUACAUCGGAACAUGCCCAGUCGUGGGGGAUAACACUUCGAAAGAAGUGCUAAUGCCGCAUACGUCCUGAGGGAGAAAGCGGGGGAUCUUCGGACCUCGCGCGAUUGGAGUGGCCGAUGUCAGAUUAGCUAGUUGGUGGGGUAAAGGCCUACCAAGGCAACGAUCUGUAGCUGGUCUGAGAGGAUGAUCAGCCACACUGGGACUGAGACACGGCACAGACUCCUACGGGAGGAAACAGUGGGGAAUUUUGGACAAUGGGGGCAACCCUGAUCCAGCCAUUCCGCGUGAGUGAAGAAGGCCUUCGGGUUGUAAAGCUCUUUCGGCAGGAACGAAACGGCGAGCUCUAACAUAGCUUGCUAAUGACGGUACCUGAAGAAGAAGCACCGGCUAACUACGUGCCAGCAGCCGCAGUAACAC
rnacentral:rRNA from 1 species